AUGGCCAGGAGACAGCAAGAGGGCAGACAGAUGAAAGAACUCAUGCAACCUGAUAAAUACCCGAAUACCUCCAACCAGAAUCCGGACAACAGAAGACAGCAUGGUGGAGAACAAGGUGGCCAUCAGAGUGGGUCCUCCUCCUCAUCUCCUUUAUCGAUACACCAUACCUCAAACGAAACCAAGAAAGGCCCGGAGAACCGUGAUAAUGAGACACAACAUGGCAGGAGACCAGAUUGUACUGAGACCAGCUCCUCUACUUUCUCGACAUCUUCUUCAUCAUUCAAACGUCAAGAGAACCAGAGGGUGAUGAUACAGGAUGGCAGUGGAGGUGGCAGCAGUCAGGCUAGCUCUUCUUCCUCUGGCUAUCCUCCUUCACCAACAAAAAGUGGCGGCAAUGCAAAAGCAGCCUGGGAAAGUGGUUUUGAUCAGAGUGGCCAUUGUCUUUUCUCCUCAUCUUCAUCGUCUGGCAGUACUUCCACUGAACACGGGAAACAUGGGCAGCAAGGCCCAGACAGCCAGUGGAUGAAGACACAGCAUGGCAGUGGAGGCAGUGGAGGUUAUGGCCCUGCCGGUUCUUCCAAUGUUCUGUCUCCUCCACCAACCCAGAGUCUCUGGGAUCAAAGUGACGAUCAGGCAGGGAAAGGUCCAGGAAAUCACUCGAAGACACGGGAUGGCAGUGGAGGUGGUGGAGGUCUUGGCCAUGCCAGUUCUUCCAGUCCUCUGUCUUCUCCAUCAUCCCAUAUUUUCAGACAUCAAAGUGAAGGUCAGGGAGGGAAAGGCCCAGGAAAUCAGAUGAAGACGCAGUAUGGCAGUGGAGGUGCUUCUGGUCAGACCGAGUCUUACUCCACUCCUCCGUCUUCUCUAUCCGACCCAAUUUUGAGAAGUGAGAGAUUGGCUGAAGAGUUCAAGUUUCAAGCGGUCGAGAAUCAUUUUGGGGAGGUAAAGGCUUCGUUAUGCUGCAGCUCCACCGAACUGAAGCGAAUUGAGGACUGCAGGGACGUCCUGGGAGAACUGAAGCCCAGCAAGAAGCACACUGUCCUCGUUGAUGUAAGACUCUCUUCUGCUCUCUGCUGGUAA
rnacentral:lncRNA from 1 species